UACGGGGGGGGCAAGCGUUGUUCGGAAUUACUGGGCGUAAAGGGCUCGUAGGCGGCCAACUAAGUCAGACGUGAAAUCCCUCGGCUUAACCGGGGAACUGCGUCGGAUACUGGUUGGCUUGAAUCCGGGAGAGGGAUGCGGAAUUCCAGGUGUAGCGGUGAAAUGCGUAGAUAUCUGGAGGAACACCGGUGGCGAAGGCGGCAUCCUGGACCGGCAUUGACGCUGAACAGCGAAAGCCAGGGGAGCAAACGGG
rnacentral:rRNA from 1 species